rnacentral:lncRNA from 1 species
UAGAUGUCCAUCAAAGGGAUUGGAUUUGAGAUGCUUUCUAAGAGAUCCCUUCUUAGGAAGGUUCAGACUAUAUGCACUCAAAAUGUCUCUUAUGAAGUAGGAAGUUUAAGCUCAUUCCAAAAUGAAUUCCCAAAGGUAGAAUUUCUUCUUCCCUUAGAUGAUUUAGGAGCACUACUAGUUUGGGUUGGAUAGCCGAAUCAUGGGAUUGAAAUAUUUGGAAAUCGGCUAUUGAAACUUCCUUUCCUCGUCUCCGAGAUGAUUCCUUCUCUAUCUCUAGGAUUUUUUAUGAAGACUAGUGCAAGAAGGAUGUCCACACAUGAAGACAUACCUUGCUUUACUAAUAGAUAAAGAAAGAAAAACUCUACCAAAGGUUAUAUGAUUAAGACCAAUGUGAAAAUAUCGAGGAAAAACAUGGACUUGUAGGGCUAGGUCUAAACCAGAACUUAUAAAAAUAAUAAAAGAUUCCCUAGGUGUAGCUAAAAGUUCAUUAUCUUCUUGAUUAAAAGAUAGGACCUCGGCUAUAGAAAAGGGUUGGUUUUGACCUAUUGCAAUCAACUCUGGACACAGAUCAUAAUUAGAGGCAAAGAAAGGACUUGUUUACUCCCAUGGUCUAUGGCUGGUCUCUAAAGGUGCAAAAAAUUCAAUAAUAGGUGUGGAAUUUUAGUUAUCCAUAAAGAUGGAAAAAAUAAAAAAGAUAAAAGAAUAAAAGUAUAAAACAAGAUAAUAGUAAGACUCAAAGUUAUCUCAGCAAACCGUCUUUCUCCCCAGCAACGGCGCCAGAAAUGCUUGUUGAUAUUUGUUAACGCCAUCAGGAAAUGAUCCGGAAGCGCACGAAUAUCGGUGAGCACUUCACCCGAGAGGUUAUCCAGAGUAUCGUAUUUAUAUUUUUACGACUGGGAGAAAGCGUGCAUCUGACUAACAAAAUCUAUUGCUACUACCCUUUAGGCUACAAACAAUGUGAUUUAAUGUGAGCGAUGUAUAGAGAAGACUACAACAGCACUCUCAUUCUAACCUUGAUAAGAAUGAUCUACUGUUCUAUUGGGGAGGCUUAUGGAAUGUAGACACCACAAAGGAUGUUUGACCCGCACCUAUAAACCCU